UAUGUCUGUUUUGUCUGCUGCUCUGUUCCCAGUGCUCAGCAAAAAAUAUUUCUUGUAAGAAUAAAUAAGUAUAUAUUCUGUCAAGGGCUCCAAAUCCAGGCCUGCUUGCUGCAGAGCCUGUGCUAUUGAGCCCCAGAGCUCUGUGAAUCUGAACACAUUUCUAGGAUGUGUGCAGAACCCCUGCGAGCCACAGUCAGCUGGAAAGAGCCACUCGGAGGGGAGGAACUGACCUCGGUGAGCCCAGGGGAGGGGAAGUAGGUUCCCUCUGGGAUCUGCCAAAGUAUGUAAUCUCCAGGGAACCUUAGAGGUCCCACCACGCACUGAUCCAGAUCUACAAUUGCUGUGACCUUGGGGCUUCAGAGCCUUGUACCACCCUGCCAGUCAUUCUGCGAGGACCCAGACAGACCUGUGAAGAGUGCUUUCGAUGGUCACUCCAAUCUGGAUUUACCCUCCGGCUCUGGGGCCCUCUCAGUGCUGCUCUGGAUGACCAAGCAUACUGCGCGAGGCCAACUGGGGGUGUGAGCGACUUCUUGCCGUUGUGCUGCGUGGCGGUCCUCCUCCCUACAGUGGUAAUCAUCAUGUAAUCUGCCUCAGGCAGGAUCAAGAGAUGGGAGAUGUCCAGAGCUUGUCUUUUAGAAGGUGUUCAAUAAAUAACAUUUUCCUGC